UACGUAGGGGGCAAGCGUUGUCCGGAAUCAUUGGGCGUAAAACGCGUGUAGGCGGACUGGAAGGUCUGGUGUGAAAGCCCGGGGCUCAACCCCCGGAGGGUCACUGGAAACCGACAGUCUCGAGUCCGGAAGAGGAGAGUGGAAUUCCUGGUGUAGCGGUGGAAUGCGCAGAUAUCAGGAGGAACACCUAUGGCGAAGGCAGCUCUCUGGUACGUGACUGACGCUGAGACGCGAAAGCGUGGGGAGCGAACAGG
rnacentral:rRNA from 1 species